ensembl:lncRNA
CAUAAACUGCAGCAUGCCAGGCUUCUCUGUCCUUCACUAUCUCCUGGAAUUUGCUCAAACACAUGUCCAUUGAGUCAGUGGUGACAACCAAUCAACUCAUUCUCUGUUAGCCCCUUUUCCUCCUGCCCUUAAUUGUUCCCAGCAUCAGGGUCCUUUCCAGUGAGUUGGCUCUGCAUCAGUAGUCACGUGUGUGCCAGAGUUGGACCAUAAAGAAAGAUGUAAGUGACUACAUGAGGCCAGUGGCUACCAUAUUGGACAACGAAGGUCAAAUGUUUCAUUAAUUGUGAGAAAAUGGAGGAACUGUGAACUAAAAUUGUGUGUUCAAGGAAUCAGUAUGAGAAGGCUGUAUAUUGUCUCCCUGUUUAUCUAACUUAUAUGCAGAGUGCAUCAUGUGAAAUGCCAGGUUGGAUGAAGUUCAAACUAGAAUCAAUAGAGCCUGGAGAAAUGUACACAACCCCAGAUAUUCAGUUGAUACCAUUCAAAACUCAGCAUCUAUAAAACUAAGAUCAUGGCAUCUGGUCCCCUCAUUUUAUGGCAAAUAAAAAAUGAAAGCAAUGACAGGUUGUAUUUUCUUGGACUCUAAAAUCACUGAGGAUUGUGAAUCCAGUUAUAAAAUUAAAAGACACUUGCUAUUUGGAAGGAAAGCUG